rnacentral:rRNA from 1 species
ACGGAAAGGCCUGCAGCUUGCUGCGGGUACUCGAGUGGCGAACGGGUGAGUAACACGUGGGUGAUCUGCCUUGCACUUCGGGAUAAGCUUGGGAAACUGGGUCUAAUACCGGAUAGGACAGCUGUUUAGUGUCAGUUGUGGAAAGUUUUUUCGGUGCAAGAUGAGCUCGCGGCCUAUCAGCUUGUUGGUGGGGUAAUGGCCUACCAAGGCGUCGACGGGUAGCCGGCCUGAGAGGGUGUACGGCCACAUUGGGACUGAGAUACGGCCCAGACUCCUACGGGAGGCAGCAGUGGGGAAUAUUGCACAAUGGGCGGAAGCCUGAUGCAGCGACGCCGCGUGGGGGAUGAAGGCCUUCGGGUUGUAAACUCCUUUCGACAGGGACGAAGCGUAAGUGACGGUACCUGUAUAAGAAGCACCGGCUAACUACGUGCCAGCAGCCGCGGUAAUACGUAGGGUGCGAGCGUUGUCCGGAAUUACUGGGCGUAAAGAGCUCGUAGGUGGUUUGUCGCGUCGUCUGUGAAAUUCCGGGGCUUAACUCCGGGCGUGCAGGCGAUACGGGCUGACUUGAGUGCUGUAGGGGAGACUGGAAUUCCUGGUGUAGCGGUGAAAUGCGCAGAUAUCAGGAGGAACACCGAUGGGCGAAGGCAGGUCUCUGGGCAGUAACUGACGCUGAGGAGCGAAAGCAUGGGUAGCGAACAGGAUUAGAUACCCUGGUAGUCCAUGCCGUAAACGGUGGGCGCUAGGUGUAGGGGGCUUCCACGUCUUCUGUGCCGUAGCUAACGCAUUAAGCGCCCCGCCUGGGGAGUACGGCCGCAAGGCUA